GGCGUGCGGGUGCUUACCAUGCAGUCAGGGGGCUCCGCAAGGGGCAACCGGCGAACGGGUGCGUAACACGUGAGCAACCUGCCUUCGAGUGGGGAAUAGCCGGCCCAACGGCCGGGUAAUACCGCAUACGCUCAGGUCCUGGCAUCAGGGGCUGAGGAAACGUUUACGGCUCGGAGAGGGGCUCGCGGCCUAUCAGCUAGUUGGUGCGGUCACGGCGCACCAAGGCGACGACGGGUAGCUGGUCUGAGAGGAUGGCCAGCCACAUUGGGACUGAGAAACGGCCCAGACUCCUACGGGAGGCAGCAGUGGGGAAUCUUGCGCAAUGGCCGAGAGGCUGACGCAGCGACGCCGCGUGGGGGAUGAAGCAUUUCGGUGUGUAAACCCCUGUUGCUCGGGACGAACGACCCUUUUCGAGGGGUGUGACGGUACCGAGUGAGGAAGCACCGGCUAACUCCGUGCCAGCAGCCGCGGUAAUACGGAGGGUGCGAGCGUUGUCCGGAAUCACUGGGCGUAAAGGGCGCGUAGGUGGUUGGAUGCGCCGGUGGUGAAAGCGCGGGGCUCAACCCUGCGUCGGCCAUCGGGACGGUCCGACUGGAGCACUGUAGAGGCAGGUGGAAUUCCGGGUGUAGCGGUGGAAUGCGUAGAGAUCCGGAAGAACACCGGUGGCGAAGGCGGCCUGCUGGGCAGUGGCUGACACUGAGGCGCGACAGCGUGGGGAGCAAACAGGAUUAGAUACCCUGGUAGUCCACGCCGUAAACGAUGGGCACUAGGUGCUUGGGGGAGCGACCCCCUGAGUGCCGACGCUAACGCAUUAAGUGCCCCGCCUGGGGAGUACGACCGCAAGUUGAAACUCAAAGGAAUUGACGG
rnacentral:rRNA from 1 species